rnacentral:rRNA from 1 species
GAAUGCUGACAUAAGUAACGAUAAAGCGGGUGAAAAGCCCGCUCGCCGGAAGACCAAGGGUUCCUGUCCAACGUUAAUCGGGGCAGGGUGAGUCGACCCCUAAGGCGAGGCCGAAAGGCGUAGUCGAUGGGAAACAGGUUAAUAUUCCUGUACUUGGUGUUACUGCGAAGGGGGGACGGAGAAGGCUAUGUUGGCCGGGCGACGGUUGUCCCGGUUUAAGCGUGUAGGCUGGUUUUCCAGGCAAAUCCGGAAAAUCAAGGCUGAGGCGUGAUGACGAGGCACUACGGUGCUGAAGCAACAAAUGCCCUGCUUCCAGGAAAAGCCUCUAAGCAUCAGGUAACAUCAAAUCGUACCCCAAACCGACACAGGUGGUCAGGUAGAGAAUACCAAGGCGCUUGAGAGAACUCGGGUGAAGGAACUAGGCAAAAUGGUGCCGUAACUUCGGGAGAAGGCACGCUGAUAUGUAGGUGAAGUCCCUCGCGGAUGGAGCUGAAAUCAGUCGAAGAUACCAGCUGGCUGCAACUGUUUAUUAAAAACACAGCACUGUGCAAACACGAAAGUGGACGUAUACGGUGUGACGCCUGCCCGGUGCCGGAAGGUUAAUUGAUGGGGUUAGCGGUAACGCGAAGCUCUUGAUCGAAGCCCCGGUAAACGGCGGCCGUAACUAUAACGGUCCUAAGGUAGCGAAAUUCCUUGUCGGGUAAGUUCCGACCUGCACGAAUGGCGUAAUGAUGGCCAGGCUGUCUCCACCCGAGACUCAGUGAAAUUGAACUCGCUGUGAAGAUGCAGUGUACCCGCGGCAAGACGGAAAGACCCCGUGAACCUUUACUAUAGCUUGACACUGAACAUUGAGCCUUGAUGUGUAGGAUAGGUGGGAGGCUUUGAAGUGUGGACGCCAGUCUGCAUGGAGCCGACCUUGAAAUACCACCCUUUAAUGUUUGAUGUUCUAACGUUGGCCCCUGAUCGGGGUUGCGGACAGUGUCUGGUGGGUAGUUUGACUGGGGCGGUCUCCUCCUAAAGAGUAACGGAGGAGCACGAAGGUUGGCUAAUCCUGGUCGGACAUCAGGAGGUUAGUGCAAUGGCAUAAGCCAGCUUGACUGCGAGCGUGACGGCGCGAGCAGGUGCGAAAGCAGGUCAUAGUGAUCCGGUGGUUCUGAAUGGAAGGGCCAUCGCUCAACGGAUAAAAGGUACUCCGGGGAUAACAGGCUGAUACCGCCCAAGAGUUCAUAUCGACGGCGGUGUUUGGCACCUCGAUGUCGGCUCAUCACAUCCUGGGGCUGAAGUAGGUCCCAAGGGUAUGGCUGUUCGCCAUUUAAAGUGGUACGCGAGCUGGGUUUAGAACGUCGUGAGACAGUUCGGUCCCUAUCUGCCGUGGGCGCUGGAGAACUGAGGGGGGCUGCUCCUAGUACGAGAGGACCGGAGUGGACGCAUCACUGGUGUUCGGGUUGUCAUGCCAAUGGCACUGCCCGGUAGCUAAAUGCGGAAGAGAUAAGUGCUGAAAGCAUCUAAGCACGAAACUUGCCCCGAGAUGAGUUCUCCCUGACCCUUUAAGGGUCCUGAAGGAACGU